rnacentral:rRNA from 1 species
CCCGGUGAUCAUAUCGAAAAGGUCACACCUGUUCCCAUCCCGAACACAGUAGUUAAGCUUUUCGAGCCGAUGAUAGUGCCAAAAGUGCGAAAGUAGGUUUCGCCGGGU